UACGUAGGGUGCAAGCGUUGUCCGGAAUUAUUGGGCGUAAAGAGCUCGUAGGCGGUUUGUUGCGUCGGCUGUGAAAUCCCGAGGCUCAACCUCGGGUCUGCAGUCGAUACGAGCAAACUAGAGUGUUGCAGGGGAGACUGGAAUUCCUGGUGUAGCGGUGAAAUGCGCAGAUAUCAGGAGGAACACCGGUGGGCGAAGGCGGGGUCUCUGGGCAACAACUGACGCUGGAGGAG
rnacentral:rRNA from 1 species